rnacentral:rRNA from 1 species
UACGGGGGGGCAAGCGUUGUUCGGAAUUACUGGGCGUAAAGGGCUCGUAGGCGGCCAACUAAGUCAGACGUGAAAUCCCUCGGCUUAACCGGGGAACUGCGUCUGAUACUGGAUGGCUUGAGUUUGGGAGAGGGAUGCGGAAUUCCAGGUGUAGCGGUGAAAUGCGUAGAUAUCUGGAGGAACACCGGUGGCGAAGGCGGCAUCCUGGACCAACACUGACGCUGAGUGAGCGAAAGCCAGGGGAGCAAACAGG